rnacentral:rRNA from 1 species
AUACGUAGGUGGCAAGCGUUGUCCGGAUUUAUUGGGCGUAAAGCGAGCGCAGGCGGUUUUUUAGGUCUGAUGUGAAAGCCUUCGGCUUAACCGGAGAAGUGCAUCGGAAACCGGGAGACUUGAGUGCAGAAGAGGACAGUGGAACUCCAUGUGUAGCGGUGAAAUGCGUAGAUAUAUGGAAGAACACCAGUGGCGAAGGCGGCUGUCUGGUCUGUAACUGACGCUGAGGCUCGAAAGCAUGGGUAGCGAACAGGAUUAGGUACCCUGGUAGUCCACGCUGUAAACGAUGAAUACUAAGUGUUGGGGGGUUUCCGCCCCUCAGUGCUGCAGCUAACGCAUUAAGUAUUCCGCCUGGGGAGUACGACCGCAAGGUUGAA